GGGGUCAGAAAAGGAUGGGAGGAAAUAGAAGGAUCGAUGGGGUAAAGGAAGGUAAAAAGAGAGUGCACGUUAAGUACCACAUUGGACAAACCCAGAAUAUCUAUCCUUUACCCCCAAAUAUGCCCUCCGCCCUGCCCUACCCUGCCCCACCUCCCAAGUAGACCUUGCCAGAGGGCAGGGCUGGUGCUUAAGGGACAAGGCCCACUUUGAGCUCUAUUCUGAACCUGUGCCAUCCCUCAGCAGGAGAGCAGGACCCUAUCUUCCAAAUUCAGCCAAACCUCCGGAGGGGCUGGCUAGACUGUGAGGGCCCCCCAGCAGAUUAUGUAAGGGCUCAUGCCACUGCCGCGGCUCAUUUGUCCGCCCCCCUCCCUCCCCAGCCUGGCAUGGAGCCAGGAGCCCGAAAACCCAGGGCUCCAGAAAUCAAUCUCGCGGUGACUGAUUAAGCCCUGUUUAGAACUAAUUGCUCUUUCGUGUGUGGGGAGAAUAAAUUACCUGCUUUAAUUUCGUGUCUUUAAAAUGCAACUGCAGGUAGAGAGGACUGUUAACCCUUUGUGGGAAGGCCUGGCCAGUGAAAGCAGAACAGGCUGAAGUGGGGAUACCCAGGUCAGGCAUAUGCCUAUAAACCCGAGACUUUGGAAAUAGACCCCAAGAUUAACCAAGGAGACCUCAGAGCGACUCCUGUGUUCCUCGGACCCACCUGGCUCAGCUUUGUCUUCAAAGCCCCUACCCUGUGAGACCUUUAUACAAGGUCUCACACAUUCCUCAUUUACCAACAGGAAGACAGCUUCGAACAACUGGAGACACUUGCUUAAGUAAGGGGUCCAUAAGCCUGCCUGCUCUCUGCGCAUGUGCUCAUCUUAAUUUCUACCGUGCCAAUCGAGAGUGCCUUCAGGGUCACUACCUGCUCUGGACAGCUCUGCUCUGAGGAUGAACACAGUGAGCUCACAGCUCCACCAACCCAACCUUCACACAGACCCCCUUUCUGGUAGCCUUAACCUUCCUGUUCAGGCACUGUUGGGCAGACAGCUCGGGCCUGGCUAGCUGAGCACUGGGCAGGAUGCCUGCCUAUUUGGUCACCUGGCUGUGUGAGCAUGGCUCUGUAUCAGUCUCUGAGCUACUCUGAAACACACACAGUGGUCAUCACCAUCUCCCAAGGCUGUUGGAUCAUUACAUGAGCUAAUGGGUGUGGUUCAAUGUUUGUGAACACCCCAGGUGCUCCUAAACCGCUCUGUCUGGUCAGACCUUCCCCAUAGACUCAUCAAACCUGCUUGGUCACCAUCUCCUCAAUGCCAAGAUUUAAGCUGUGCUGGGCAUCAUCCCCUUGAGGAGGCCAGCAUUACCCCAUUUUGUCCACCACAUGCUAGAAGCAUGAUGUAAUUUGCCCACAGCCCCAUGGCUAGGCAGUGAUGCCAGGCACCACUCCAGCCCUGUCCAGACCCCUGGACCUGGUCUAAACUUGCUAACCCACCUAGACACACCCUAACCACUAAUCUGCCUGGCUUCUCCCUCCUGUCCCCAACAGUGUCUUCUUCCAGCUCCACCAGGCUGCCUGUCUCUGGCACUUCAUGAACUUGGAGGCAACAGCUGGAGCUUGCCAGCCUUGCCCUGCCUGGCUUCUCCUGAGGCCCUGUGAGGAGAGAAGCUGGCCCCCCAGGGAAUGAUGUUCCCUCAGCUAUCUUCCCCCUAGGACUAUCUGCCUAGCCAGAAGCUCCACCUCCCACUUUCCCAGUGCUGCUGGAAUGGAAGUCCGGCAGGCAGUACUGCUUUAUGUCCUGGGCCAGCCUGUCUCAGAGUUCUGGGGACUGAGGAAGAACACUGCCAGCCGUAAAGAGGUCCCUGACGGUUUGCAGCUUUCUCCCCCUUGCCCCACCCUGGACUCAGCCUGGAGGCUGGGAGUUCAAGCCAUGGCUCUCACAACCCAAGGAAAAGAAAGAACAUAUCCAAGGUGGCCUAGGACCUGGUGUCCCAGGAUAUGCAGCCAGGCCUCCUGACCCCCAGCUUGGCACUCCUCCCACCCACUCUACCAAGAUGUCGGUCCUCCUCUUCAGGGCCAUCUCUUUAUAUACAAUGAUGACCUAGGCCAAUUGGUCUCUGUGGAGUUUUCCAGUUUGGCACCGGACAGUUUUUGAAAUGGUAUAAUCUACAAGUCUGUGAUGCCUACCCUCCCUUAAAGCAGGAUUCUUUUUUUUUUUUUUUUCAUAAAUAAAACCUGAUGCAAGUCUGAAUCAUUAUACACUCAAGCCCUAGUGUGGGGAAGCCCUGCCCACUCAGCGCCUUCCCUCUCCAUGAAUGAGGCUGUGGAGGGGUUCUGCGAGCCAGAUGGAUGGGGCAGCUGAGCUUAGAUGGGUGCCAGGCUCUGCUCAGGGUUACCCAGAGAGGGUGGCCUGGAGCUGAGGCCUCUGACUUCCAAGCUGGGCUCUGUACUAGAUGUGAACCAGAGCUAUGCCCCUGAGAGAGGCCCACACCCUGCACACUAGCAUACCUCUUUAGGACAUAGACACCUGGUGCCAAUCAGAGCUCCCAGCCAAGAUCCAGUGGCAAGCACUGAUGACAACACUGGCUUGCUCACAGGGCCUCCUGGGAGGCCAGAGGCCAUGAAGGAGGUGAGGGAGGUAGAAGAGGGAGACGCCUCUGCCAGGCAGCAGUAACCAGGGCUCCCUCUUGGAGUCGCUUAGCAACCCACCACCACAGCCACGGCCCAGGCAUGCCCAAGUUCCCUGGAUGCCCAGGGCUGGGCUCAGCUUCUGGGGCCUCCCACAUCCCACAUGUACAGCUAGGCUUGGCAUGGUCUCCUAGGGGAGAUAGGACCUCCCUGAUUUCGGGCCCCAGGGAAAUGAUGUAGGGGCAGAAGAAAGGACAGCAGGUUAUAUUCAUGCCUUCCCUAUUCUUCCUCAGCACUCAGGCCUGGGUGAAUUCUCUCCUGGGUCCCACCCACUAGGGACAGAAGCCUGGCAAGAAUGGCAUAUGGCCAAGUGCAUGGGCUCUGGCACUGGGUCCAGAUGUCAGUUUCAGCUCCAACACACAGGAGUGGCACAACCCUGGGGCAAGGUACUUUGAAGUCCCAGCUCCUUUAACAGCUAUGGCUUCCACUUUUGCUUCCCUGCAGCAUCUUCACACAAUGAUGCUUAACCACCUGAGAUCC